UUGGAGGGCAAGUCUGGUGCCAGCAGCCGCGGUAAUUCCAGCUCCAAUAGCGUAUAUUAAAGUUGUUGCAGUUAAAAAGCUCGUAGUUGAAUUUCGGGAUUAGUACGUCGGUCGUGCCUUAGGUACGUACUGGUGUUACUGGUUCCUACCUUCUGACGAACCAUCAUGUCAUUAAUUUGGUGUGGUGGGGAAUCAGGACUGUUACUUUGAAAAAAUUAGAGUGUUUAAAGCAGGCUCGCGCUUGAAUACAUUAGCAUGGAAUAAUGAAAUAGGACGUUGAUCCUAUUUUGUUGGUUUCUAGGAUUGACGUAAUGAUUAAUAGGGAUAGUUGGGGGCAUUAGUAUUCAAUUGUCAGAGGUGAAAUUCUUGGAUUUAUUGAAGACUAACUACUGCGAAAGCAUUUGCCAAGGAUGUUUUCAUUAAUCAAGAACGAAAGUUAGGGGAUCGAAGACGAUCAGAUACCGUCGUAGUCUUAACCAUAAACUAUGCCGACUGGGGAUCGGAUGAUGUUAUUUUUAAUGNCUCAUUCGGCACCUUACGGGAAAC
rnacentral:rRNA from 1 species